rnacentral:rRNA from 1 species
GACGAACGCUGGCGGCGUGCUUAACACAUGCAAGUCGAACGGUGAACGAGGGAGCUUGCUCCCUCCGGAUCAGUGGCGAACGGGUGAGUAACACGUGAGCAAUCUGCCCCGAACUCUGGGAUAAGCGUUGGAAACGACGUCUAAUACCGGAUACGACGCGGGAGGGCAUCCUCUCCGCGUGGAAAGAACUUCGGUUCGGGAUGGGCUCGCGGCCUAUCAGCUUGUUUGUGAGGUAACGGCUCACCAAGGCGACGACGGGUAGCCGGCCUGAGAGGGUGACCGGCCACACUGGGACUGAGACACGGCCCAGACUCCUACGGGAGGCAGCAGUGGGGAAUAUUGCACAAUGGGCGCAAGCCUGAUGCAGCAACGCCGCGUGCGGGACGACGGCCUUCGGGUUGUAAACCUCUUUUAGCAGGGAAGAAGCGAAAGUGACGGUACCUGCAGAAAAAGCACCGGCUAACUACGUG